ACCCCUGUAGCUCAGUAGGACAGAGCGCCGCUACGAACGCGGAGGUCCCAGGUUCGAUUCCUGGCAGGGGUGC
rnacentral:tRNA from 1 species